CAUGCAAGUCGAGCGAGAAGCUACCUAUGACCCUUCGGGUGAUUAGACUAGUGGACAGCGGCGGACGGGUGAGUAACGCGUAAAUAACCUGCCAUACACACAAGGAUAGCCAUCGGAAACGGUGAUUAAUACUUGAUGAGGCUACAGAUUCGCAUGAAUCAGUAGUUAAAGAAUUUUGGUGUAUGAUGGAUUUGCGUUUGAUUAGCUAGUUGGUAAGGUAAAAGCUUACCAAGGCGAUGAUCAAUAGCCGGCCUGAGAGGGUGAACGGCCACACUGGAACUGAGACACGGUCCAGACUCCUACGGGAGGCAGCAGUGGGGAAUAUUGCACAAUGGAGGAAACUCUGAUGCAGCAACGCCGCGUGAACGAAGAAGGCUUUCGAGUCGUAAAGUUCUGUUAUAGGGGAAGAAGCAGUGACGGUACCCUAUGAGAAAGCCACGGCUAAUUACGUGCCAGCAGCCGCGGUAAUACGUAAGUGGCAAGCGUUAUCCGGAAUUACUGGGCAUAAAGCGUUCGUAGGCGGUUAAACAAGCCAAUAGUGAAAUCCACCAGCCUAACUGGUGUCAGCUAAUGGAACUGUAUAACUUGAGUACAGGAGAGGAAAGUGGAAUUCCUAGUGUAGUAGUGAAAUGCGUAGAUAUUAGGAAGAACAUCAGUAGCGAAGGCGACUUUCUGGACUGUAACUGACGCUGAGGAACGAAAGCGUGGGGAGCGAACCAGGAUUAGAUACCCUGGUAGUCCACGCCGUAAACGAUGGAUACUUGGUGUUGGCCGUAAAGGUCGGUGCCGGAGCAAAUGUAUUAAGUAUCCCGCCUGGGGAGUACGGUCGCAAGGCUGAAACUCAAAAGAAUUGACGGGGACCCGCACAAGCAGCGGAGCAUGUGGUUUAAUUCGAAGCAACGCGAAGA
rnacentral:rRNA from 1 species